rnacentral:rRNA from 1 species
CCCCUAGAUGUUCUGGGCCGCACGCGCGCUACACUGAACCGUUCAACAAGUCUUAACCUUGGCCGAUAGGUCUGGGUAAUCUUUGAACGCUGUUCGUGAUUGGGAUAGACCUUUGCAAUUAUGGGUCUUCAACGAGGAAUUCCUAGUAAACGCAAGUCAUCAGCUUGCAUUGAUUACGUCCCUGCCCUUUGUACACACCGCCCGUCGCACCUACCGAUUGAAUGGUCCGGUGAAAUCUCGGGACGGCGGCUUGGUCGCUUGCGUCCGACUGCUGAAACUUGAUUAAACCAUAUCAUUUAGAGGAAGGUGAAGUCGUAACA